GGGAUUAGAUACCCUGUUAUUCCAGAGCAAAAAUACGUCACACUGCCUGGGAACUACGAAGAAGCUUUAAAACCCGAGGGACUUGGCGGUGCAUUAAUCCCCCCAGGGGAACCUGGCCCUUAAUUCGAUGAUCCACGAACUUCUUACCUUUUCUAGAUAAGAAUAACUUGUAAAGAAGUUUCCUUAAACAGUUUGCAUACCGCCGUUUUCAGCUUAUAUCGCGAGGGGAUAGUAAUAGGCUAUAAAGUAGCUUAUAAUGAUUAUAAGUUGCUGUAAAUUCAGGUAAACGUGUAGCCAAUGAAAAGGGGUGAGCUGGGUUACAGUUGGGGUUUGAAGUAGCGUGUAACCUUAAAAGGUUUAUAUAAAAGAGUACUUGGAAGUAAUGAUCUUGGGCAAAGAGGUCGUGAAUAGUGCUCUAGUGUGUGUACAAAUCGCCCGUCACUC
rnacentral:rRNA from 1 species